CGGGUGAGUAACGCGUAGAUAAUCUGCCUUAGACUCUGGGAUAACAUCUCGAAAGGGGUGCUAAUACCGGAUAAGCCCACGAAGACGUGAGUCUUUGCGGGAAAAGGGGGCCUCUGCAUAUGCUCUUGAUCUAAGAUGAGUCUGCGUACCAUUAGCUUGUUGGUAGGGUAAUGGCCUACCAAGGCGACGAUGGUUAGCUGGUCUGAGAGGAUGAUCAGCCACACUGGGACUGAGACACGGCCCAGACUCCUACGGGAGGCAGCAGUGGGGAAUUUUGCGCAAUGGGGGAAACCCUGACGCAGCAACGCCGCGUGAGUGAUGAAGGCUUUCGGGUCGUAAAGCUCUGUCUAGAGGGAAGAAGUGAUAUUUGGUUAAUACCCAGAUUUCUUGACGGUACCUCUGAAGGAAGCACCGGCUAACUCCGUGCCAGCAGCCGCGGUAAUACGGAGGGUGCAAGCGUUGUUCGGAAUUAUUGGGCGUAAAGCGCGUGUAGGCGGUUUGUUAAGUCUGAUGUGAAAGCCCUGGGCUCAACCUGGGAAGUGCAUUGGAAACUGGCAGACUUGAAUACGGGAGAGGGUAGUGGAAUUCCGAGUGUAGGAGUGAAAUCCGUAGAUAUUCGGAGGAACACCGGUGGCGAAGGCGGCUACCUGGACCGAUAUUGACGCUGAGACGCGAAAGCGUGGGUAGCAAACAGGAUUAGAUACCCUGGUAGUCCACGCCGUAAACGAUGAAAAGUAGGUGUUGCG
rnacentral:rRNA from 1 species